rnacentral:rRNA from 1 species
AGAGACGAGUCAGAGUUUGAUCCUGGCUCAGGACGAACGCUGGCGGCGUGCUUAACACAUGCAAGUCGAACGAGGAUCAACUCGGAAGGGCUUCGGCCCGGAAAGGUUGAUUCGAGUGGCGGACGGGUGAGUAACGCGUGAGCAACCUGUCCCAGACAGGGGGAUAACACUUGGAAACAGGUGCUAAUACCGCAUAAGACCACGAGAUCACAUGUUCUUGAGGUAAAAGGAGGAAUCCGGUUUGGGGUGGGCUCGCGUCCGAUUAGAUAGUUGGUGAGGUAACGGCCCACCAAGUCGACGAUCGGUAGCCGACCUGAGAGGGUGAUCGGCCACAUUGGAACUGAGAGACGGUCCAA